rnacentral:rRNA from 1 species
AAAUUGAAGAGUUUGAUCAUGGCUCAGAUUGAACGCUGGCGGCAGGCCUAACACAUGCAAGUCGAACGGUAACAGGAAGCAGCUUGCUGCUUUGCUGACGAGUGGCGGACGGGUGAGUAAUGUCUGGGAAACUGCCUGAUGGAGGGGGAUAACUACUGGAAACGGUAGCUAAUACCGCAUAACGUCGCAAGACCAAAGAGGGGGACCUUCGGGCCUCUUGCCAUCGGAUGUGCCCAGAUGGGAUUAGCUAGUAGGUGGGGUAACGGCUCACCAAGGCGACGAUCCCUAGCUGGUCUGAGAGGAUGACCAGCCACACUGGAACUGAGACACGGUCCAGACUCCUACGGGAGGCAGCAGUGGGGAAUAUUGCACAAUGGGCGCAAGCCUGAUGCAGCCAUGCCGCGUGUAUGAAGAAGGCCUUCGGGUUGUAAAGUACUUUCAGCGGGGAGGAAGGGAGUAAAGUUAAUACCUUUGCUCAUUGACGUUACCCGCAGAAGAAGCACCGGCUAACUCCGUGCCAGCAGCCGCGGUAAUACGGAGGGUGCAAGCGUUAAUCGGAAUUACUGGGCGUAAAGCGCACGCAGGCGGUUUGUUAAGUCAGAUGUGAAAUCCCCGGGCUCAACCUGGGAACUGCAUCUGAUACUGGCAAGCUUGAGUCUCGUAGAGGGGGGUAGAAUUCCAGGUGUAGCGGUGAAAUGCGUAGAGAUCUGGAGGAAUACCGGUGGCGAAGGCGGCCCCCUGGACGAAGACUGACGCUCAGGUGCGAAAGCGUGGGGAGCAAACAGGAUUAGAUACCCUGGUAGUCCACGCCGUAAACGAUGUCGACUUGGAGGUUGUGCCCUUGAGGCGUGGCUUCCGGAGCUAACGCGUUAAGUCGACCGCCUGGGGAGUACGGCCGCAAGGUUAAAACUCAAAUGAAUUGACGGGGGCCCGCACAAGCGGUGGAGCAUGUGGUUUAAUUCGAUGCAACGCGAAGAACCUUACCUGGUCUUGACAUCCACAGAACUUUCCAGAGAUGGAUUGGUGCCUUCGGGAACUGUGAGACAGGUGCUGCAUGGCUGUCGUCAGCUCGUGUUGUGAAAUGUUGGGUUAAGUCCCGCAACGAGCGCAACCCUUAUCCUUUGUUGCCAGCGGUCCGGCCGGGAACUCAAAGGAGACUGCCAGUGAUAAACUGGAGGAAGGUGGGGAUGACGUCAAGUCAUCAUGGCCCUUACGACCAGGGCUACACACGUGCUACAAUGGCGCAUACAAAGAGAAGCGACCUCGCGAGAGCAAGCGGACCUCAUAAAGUGCGUCGUAGUCCGGAUUGGAGUCUGCAACUCGACUCCAUGAAGUCGGAAUCGCUAGUAAUCGUGGAUCAGAAUGCCACGGUGAAUACGUUCCCGGGCCUUGUACACACCGCCCGUCACACCAUGGGAGUGGGUUGCAAAAGAAGUAGGUAGCUUAACCUUCGGGAGGGCGCUUACCACUUUGUGAUUCAUGACUGGGGUGAAGUCGUAACAAGGUAACCGUAGGGGAACCUGCGGUUGGAUCACCUCCUUA